GAUGAACGCUGGCGGCGUGCCUAAUACAUGCAAGUCGAGCGAACAGAUGAGGAGCUUGCUCCUCUGACGUUAGCGGCGGACGGGUGAGUAACACGUGGAUAACCUACCUAUAAGACUGGGAUAACUUCGGGAAACCGGAGCUAAUACCGGAUAAUAUAUUGAACCGCAUGGUUCAAUAGUGAAAGACGGUUUUGCUGUCACUUAUAGAUGGAUCCGCGCCGCAUUAGCUAGUUGGUAAGGUAACGGCUUACCAAGGCAACGAUGCGUAGCCGACCUGAGAGGGUGAUCGGCCACACUGGAACUGAGACACGGUCCAGACUCCUACGGGAGGCAGCAGUAGGGAAUCUUCCGCAAUGGGCGAAAGCUUGACGGAGCAACGCCGCGUGAGUGAUGAAGGUGUUCGGAUCGUAAAACUCUGUUAUUAGGGAAGAACAAAUGUGUAAGUAACUAUGCACGUCUUGACGGUACCUAAUCAGAAAGCCACGGCUAACUACGUG
rnacentral:rRNA from 1 species